AACGGCCGCGGUAUCCUAACCGUGCAAAGGUAGCAUAAUCAUUUGCCUAUUAAUUGUAGGCUAGAAUGAACGGGUUAACGAAAUAAAGACUGUCUCAAUUAAUUACCUAAAAAUUAUUAUUUAUCCGAAGAAAGAUAGAUAAUCUCGAAGGACAAGAAGACCCUAUAGAGCUUAAUUUAAAUUAUAGAAUUAAACUAUAAAAAUAUUCGGUUGGGGCGACCCAGGGCUAAACAAUCACCCACUAUAUAUAAGAUAAAUAAAUCAAGUAACUGACCCUUAAAAGAUCACAAGACCAAGCUACCUUAGGGAUAACAGGCUAAUCCCACUCAAGAGUCCUUAUCAACAGUGGGGUUUGGCACCUCGAUGUUGGCUUAGG
rnacentral:rRNA from 1 species